rnacentral:lncRNA from 1 species
UAAAGGAUUAUUUUUAAAAAAACAAAAACAAACAUGUAUGGAUGGUAUAUGUAUAUUUUAUAAUACUAAAGUUUUUGAACUCUUGUUUUUUGAUGAAGUUAUAUAUAAUCAAUCUGUUGUUUUUAGUAAAUGGCAUGUAGGCUUGGUAGUAGCACUAAGAAAUAUACGUUCAAGAAGGAAAGAAGUUUAUGAUAGUGAAUUGGGGGUUGGUGAUAAUAAAUACAAGUCAAACAAUAAAACACACGAAGUAAAUGAUGUAGUUAUAGUUUCUAAUACGCAUUUAAUAUUUGAUUCAAGUAAAGGAGAUAUCAAACUGUAUCAGUUGUGUUAUAUGACAUAUCGUAUACUUGUUAUGAUGAACAGGUGUAUAGAAUAUUUAAAAGUUUGUAAUAAAAAAGAAAAGAGUAAUAAGUCGAAAGAAAUGUCGAAUAGAGGUGAUGUAAUAAGUGGUACAACAUGUGAUAUUGUAACGGAGAAACCUGGAACGGAUAAUUACUUUGCUUAUAAACAGACAGCCAAUGGGGGAUUAAAUGAAGCAAGUGCGAAUGAAAUAGAGGACACACAUACGGACACACAUACGGACUCAUCUGAUACAAGCAAUACUAUCCUUACACCUAGUAUAAUUUUUUGUGGCGAUUUUAAUAUAACGCCAAACAGUAUGCUAUACUAUUAUAUAAUUAAUAGAUAUAUAAAUAUAAAAGACUUAAAUGUAGCUAAACUAUCUGGGCAGUAUUUAAUGUUCGAAAAAAGAUUUUAUUAUGAUAGUUUUUUAAAUGGAAAAGAAAUUAAAAAAAUGUUUAAUGAUAAUAUAUUACAAGAUUUAAGAACUAAAGAAUAUAAUAAUAGGUUUAUAGAAAAUUUGAAAAAAGAAGUUUUAUUUGUUUUAUUUAAAAAUGAAAAAAUAUUAAAAGAAGAGUAUUUAAGACAUAUGUUUUGUAAAAAAAAAAGUAUGUAUUUAACAAACUAUAAUUCACCUAGUUCUUUUAUUUUUAAUAAAGGAAGAAACAGUACAAGUAAUAAUGUAAAGCUGUCGUUUUAUAAUAAAAAUAUAAAUAGUAAACAUAUUUUAAAUAGCAAAAUGGAAGAUAAAAAUAUAAAUUUUAAUGUGGACAGCUUAAAAAUACAAAAAGAACAAAAAGAAGAUGUGGAAACUAGUAAUAAUAAAAAAGAAGAGAGUGUGGGUAAUAAUUUUUUAAGAAGUGAGCACGAUAAAGUGCUGGAAACAACAAAAAUGAAAGAUCACAAUGUAGAUCCAAAUGAAUAUAUACAACCUGUAGAGAAUAAUAAAAACGAAGAGGAGGCUUUUAUUUUAUACUAUCCCUUAUAUUUGAAAAGUAUAUAUAACAGUUGCUUUGAAAACACUGCACAACAGCCUUGUUACAAGUAUGAUGGUAUAGCCGCUUUAAAUAGUGAAGAAAAACAUCUAAUGGUAAAUGAUGUACCAUUUACUGUUUUUCAUGGGGAACAACAAGGUUGUGUUGAUUAUAUAUUUUAUUCGUAUAAAAACCUUAAAAAAGUAUCGUGUACCAAUAUGCCUUCAUUCGAUGAAUUACAAAAACAUGGAUGUCUUCCUAAUAAGGUACUAGUAUAUUUUUAUAAAAAAUGAAAUCUCUGUAUGUAGCUGUUUAUGCUUGUAUCGGUUUGUUCAUUUACCCCAUUGCUCAUUUACCUUUUUGUUCGUUUUUUUUUUUUUUUUUUUCUUUCAGAAAUAUCCUACUUCUGAUCAUUUAUAUUUACACGCUACGUUAGUUAGGAGGAAUGAUGAAGAAGUUUGAAAAAAACAAUAAUUGUUUUUUUUUUUUUUUUUUUUCUUUUUAAUAGUUGUUUUG